AAACUGUACAUCCACACAAAAAAGUGUACACAAAUGUUCACAGCAGCACUAUGUGUAAUAGUCAAAAAGCGGAAGCAACCAAAACGUCCAUCAGCUGGUGAAUGGAUAAACAAAAUGUGCUCUGCCCCCGUGGUAAGAUCGCUUUCCACCAUAAAAAGGAUGAACCUCGAAGACACUGUGCUGAGUGAAAAAAAAAAAAAACAGACACCAAAGGCCACAUACUAUACGAUUUCAUUUCUACGAAAUAUCUAGAAUGGGCAAGUCUACAGAGACAGAAAGUAGAUCAGUGGUUGCCAGGGUGGAGAACGGGGUAGGGGGGCUGCUGAAUGGGUACAGAAUUUCUUUUGGGGUAAUAAAAUAUUCUAGAAUUAGAUCGUGGUGAUGGUUGCACAUCAUUGUAAAUAUACUUAAUGCCACUGAAUUGCACACUUUGCAAUGGUGAAUUUUUAUGUUAUGUGAAUUUUUCCUCAAUGAGGAAAAAAUAUGACCAACUACCCCUUCCGUGGAGCAGGCACUGUGGGAGGAAGACCACCAUGUUACUCCUAACUCUUAGAUCAAGCCUUUGGGGAUCGAGGCAGGCAUUAGCAUCCUUAUUUUACAGCCACUGAAGCAUCCAGCAACCAGUCUCGGGCCCAAGGUCACUCAGUGAUAAUUUGGGAAUUGGAUCCACUUUGGGAAUUCCACUCCCAAAGUGUGGGACCCUUCUGAGAGGGUCCCCACUUAUCUACUCUGUGUGGCAUCAGAGAUUCUCAAGGGUGCCCCCGUUCUGAAGCUAGCACAGAAGACCAACACCAUUCUAGUGGUACACCCUGGUACGUAUGUGUGCACGUGAGUUUGUGUGUGCGUGUGUGUGUACACGUGUGCAUGGGGUGGCUGUUUCUACCCCGUCCUGCCCCCAUCCCCACCACCUCAAUUCCCGGUAGGCUGGCUUCAUCACAAACCAGCUGGAGGACCUUGAAAAUUCUAGUCUUUAGGUGCCAGGAGGGGCAGCCGGUGCAGGGAACCCAUUAAGACCCUGGAUUCACACAGAACUGUGGUCAACUUCUGUAGCAGAUGCUCCUGGUGCCUGGCCCAAAUUUCGUUGGCAUUCACCAGUCUGGAACAUUCCCUAAGGGCACGAGACCCCCACCUGAAGGCAAUGCCUCUGGGAGCAUCUCUUAGUCAAUGAGGCAGUGAAGCAUCGGAACUAGAGGAUGCUCCAGCUUUCCACUCCCCAGGUGGAGUAACGUGGGGGCGUCUUAUACAGGGUGGCUCAGAGAAGCCCAGCGGACUGACCCCCAGUGUCUCACUCUGGGGACUGGCUUGACAGCACCUCCCUUACUGCCUGCUUCCCUUCUCCGCCUCACUUCCUCACUCCCUAAUCAACCACUUGGCUCCAAAUCCUUGUCUCAGGCAUUGCUUCUGGAAGAGCCCAGCCUAAGACACCUCCCCUUGGUCGCUCUUGCUCUGUGUCCUUGGGCAAGUCCCUCAAUCUCCCAGAGCCUUUCAAGGGUGAGGAGGCUGACCUGGGGAGGAGAUCAGCUGCAUCUGGACAAUUUACCUGACCAGGGAAGAUUUAGAGGGAGGAUUAAUUAUUAUAUAUUCUACUCCCAUGCCUCUGAGAGGUUCAACUUAAGCCAGAUCACGACAGUGGGGAAUUUUCCAACCUAAAUCUGACCACUUAGGGGCUGUAAUCCAGAAAAUUUAGCUGAAAGCUGUGUCUCCCUUCCACCCUCAGGACUUCUUGGUCAGCCUGAGGGGCUGGUGAAGGGUACGAGUGGGAAUGGGUAUGAAGAGUGCCUGGAGGGACAGAGCCCCUGUUUUGGGGUCCCAGGUGUCCCUGUGGCCAAAACUACCCAAACAAGAGUGACAUUGGGCUGGCCUUUCUUGGACUCCCCCUGGCCUGCCCAGAAUGCUCCAGAGCAAGGCUGACAGGUCUGGAGGCUGCAGCUGGACCUCCAGUGUGGCAGGUGGCCUCCCUUGGCUGGGCUGAGACUAAGCUGGCUUUGGGGCUGGGGUGCCCCUCACCCCCUCUCUUUCUUCAUCUCCAGGCCCACUGCAGGCCUGGCUGUUAACGUGUUCGCUUUCAGUCCUACGUGUUUGUCCCUCGUACACACAGCUGACUGACCUUGUCAGAGUGGGGUGUGUGUGUGUGUGUGUGUGUGUGUGUAUUUGUGUGUGUGU